GACGAACGCUGGCGGCGUGCCUAAUACAUGCAAGUCGAACGCAGUGGGGACGGGUGAGUAACACGUGGCUAAUCUUCCAUUAGAGGGGAUAACACUUGGAAACAGGUGCUAAACCGACAUUGAUGGAUGGACCUGCGGGGCAUUAGCUAGUUGGGGAGGUAACGGCUCACCAAGGCCACGAUGCAUAGCCGACCUGAGAGGGUGAUCGGCCACACUGGGACUGAGACACGGCCCAGACGCCUACGGGAGGCAGCAGUGGGGAAUCUUCGGCAAUGGGCGAAAGCCUGACCGAGCAACGCCGCGUGAGUGAAGAAGGUUUUCGGAUCGUAAAACUCUGUUGUUAGAGAAGCGGUAUCUAACCAGAAAGCCACGGCUAACUACGUGCCAGCCGCCGCGGUAAUUC
rnacentral:rRNA from 1 species